UAAUACGAAGGGGGCUAGCGUUGUUCGGAAUUACUGGGCGUAAAGCGCACGUAGGCGGUUUUCCAAGUUGGAGGUGAAAUCCCCGGGCUUAACCUGGGAACUGCCUCCAAGACUGGGAGACUCGAGUCCGAGAGAGGUGAGUGGAAUUUCCAGUGUAGAGGUGAAAUUCGUAGAUAUUGGAAAGAACACCAGUGGCGAAGGCGGCUCACUGGCUCGGUACUGACGCUGAGGAGCGACAGCGUGGGGAGCAAACAGGAUUAGAUACCCUGGUAGUCCACGCCGUAAACUAUGGGUGCUAGUUGUCAGGCAGCUUGCUGUUUGGUGACGCAGCUAACGCAUUAAGCACCCCGCCUGGGGAGUACGGUCGCAAGAUGAAAACUCAAAGGAAUUGACGG
rnacentral:rRNA from 1 species